rnacentral:misc_RNA from 1 species
UUCUCUCUCUCUCUCUCUCAAUCUGUUUCUCUGUUGUUUGCUAGAAAAUCGUGCGAGUUGAUGGCAAUGGAGGAAAAGGAUCAGCUGGAAAUGGAAGAAGCGGAGAAAAAGGAUAAAAAGCUAGCUGAGGAUCUUGCGGUGGCUGGUAAUGCGCUUCUUUCAUCUCUAUCUACUGUUGAGCAACUUCUUCCUCUGCUUCAGAGACUUGGCGAUCUUUUAGCGGGAGUGAAGCAGUCUCCAUCUAACCUUGUGCGGAAGGCACUGAACCCUGCAAUGAACGCGUUGACAAGCAAUGAACUUUUGAAUCAUUUGGAUGCAGAAGUGAAAGUUUUUGUUGCGUCAUCUAUAUGCGAGAUUAUGAGAAUAACAGCACCAAUUUCUCCUUACGGUGAUGAACAGCUGAAGAAAAUCCUUAAGCUGAUUGUGGCCGCAUUUGAUAAUAUAUCUGAUCUGUCAAGCCGUUCAUACCUUAAAAGAGUUUACAUUCUUGAAAUCUUUGUAAGGAUCAGGUUAUGGGUUCUGCUGCUGGAUCUUGAAUGUGACUCCUUGAUUUUGGAGAUGUUCAAUAAUUUCCUAAGAAACAUUAGGGAAUACCAUCCUGAUGUUGUCUUUAUGUAUAUGGGGUUCUGUAUGAUCAUGGUGUUGGAGGAAAUUGAAGAGAUUCCAUCAGAGCUUCUAUCCUCCCUUUUGGGCAGUGUGAGGAAGGGAAACCAGGUGAAUUCCUGUUCACAUAACCAGUUCUUUUUAAUCUUAUAUUAAUUAUGGUGUGGAUGAUUAGAUAGCACAUUGUUAUCUACUUUGUACCCUCCAGAAUGUUCUGCCUAUUGCUCGAAAGUUAGGCGAGAGAGUAAUUGAAAAUUGUGCUUCAAAGCUAGCACUCUACAUACGUCAAGCAGUGCAAUAUACUGGCCUUCCUUUAGA